AGUUAUUGUACAGUGGCUUGGAAAAGCACUCGACCAAUCAUAUGAAGAAACUGAAGAAAGCCUUCGAUGAACAAAAGGUAACCCACUCCACUCCAAACUUGAACUACUAACUACUUUCCAAGGCGGUCGGCACCAUGAAGACUGUGACAUCCAUUUUACUCCUCUCUGUGUGUGUCAUGAGUUCUGCAGCAGGGAUCAUUGUUCAGACUGAGAGAAGCACUGAUGAUUCUCCCUCCGUUGAAGAGCCCGUUAUUCAGUCUGAGAACAGGACUGAUGACUAUCCAGCCAUCAAGG